rfam:Culex pipiens quinquefasciatus supercont3.9 genomic scaffold, whole genome shotgun sequence.
GCGGCCGUGGCUGACUGGUUACAGUGUUCGCUUUGUGAGCGAAUGGUUCUGGGUACGAUUCCCAUUUGCCCCC